AAUGAGUUUCUUAUUUCUUAAUGGAUUGCCCAAAUUAGCAAAUUCGCAUUCUUCGUGGCAUCAAUAUUCACGGUUGUUUAACAAUUUGUUAUUGUAUGGGGUGUUAGAUAUUUGGAAAAAGUUUAUAUAAGGUGUCAACCUUAUACCUUAGAGGUACGGUGCUCAUAAAAAACCACUCUGAAAAAGGUCAUUUUGUUACUUGAAAAUUCU
rnacentral:lncRNA from 1 species